rnacentral:rRNA from 1 species
UACAGAGGGGGCAAGCGUUGUUCGGAAUUACUGGGCGUAAAGGGCGCGUAGGCGGCCUGCUAAGUCGAACGUGAAAUCCCCGGGCUCAACCCGGGAACUGCGUCCGAUACUGGCAGGCUUGAAUCCGGGAGAGGGAUGUGGAAUUCCAGGUGUAGCGGUGAAAUGCGUAGAUAUCUGGAGGAACACCGGUGGCGAAGGCGGCAUCCUGGACCGGUAUUGACGCUGAGGUGCGAAAGCGUGGGGAGCAAACAGG